rnacentral:rRNA from 1 species
ACGGUAGCUAAUACCGCAUAACGUCGCAAGACCAAAGAGGGGGACCUUCGGGCCUCUUGCCAUCAGAUGUGCCCAGAUGGGAUUAGCUAGUAGGUGGGGUAAUGGCUCACCUAGGCGACGAUCCCUAGCUGGUCUGAGAGGAUGACCAGCCACACUGGAACUGAGACACGGUCCAGACUCCUACGGGAGGCAGCAGUGGGGAAUAUUGCACAAUGGGCGCAAGCCUGAUGCAGCCAUGCCGCGUGUAUGAAGAAGGCCUUCGGGUUGUAAAGUACUUUCAGCGAGGAGGAAGGCAUUGUGGUUAAUAACCACAGUGAUUGACGUUACUCGCAGAAGAAGCACCGGCUAACUCCGUGCCAGCAGCCGCGGUAAUACGGAGGGUGCAAGCGUUAAUCGGAAUUACUGGGCGUAAAGCGCACGCAGGCGGUCUGUCAAGUCGGAUGUGAAAUCCCCGGGCUCAACCUGGGAACUGCAUUCGAAACUGGCAGGCUAGAGUCUUGUAGAGGGGGGUAGAAUUCCAGGUGUAGCGGUGAAA